rnacentral:misc_RNA from 1 species
AGAGAGAGAGAGAGAGAGAUAUGUAAACGAGGAAAAAGACAUUGAUUUUUAUUGAAGGCUCAAUGCCAGUUACAGAGACAAUUACAACACUAUAUCUUCUGUGAUGUUGGCAUUGCCAAGGAAACACCACUGCCAGCUGGUAAAUCCUUCCAUUGUUGAGUUAUUGUUUUGAUCUGGGUGAAAAAGUUUACUCCAGCCUUUCCUGCAAUUCAGAUAAUUCUCUCUUUGUUUAGUAAAUUCAGCGAUUCUGCAUUGCAUAGCAACCUAUAAAGGGAAAAGGAAUUGGCAAAAGAGGUGCAAUGACAAAAUCAAGGGAGAGAGUGUAAAUUUUACCAUAGAAGUUGAGAUCUCCGGCAAAAGAUGCCUUGGAGCCAGUAAAUGAGAAAAAGGGUAACGGAACUGGUAUAGGAACAUUGAUGCCAACCUGCAUCAAAAUGAAUCAUCUCAAAUAAGUAUUCUUAAAUAUGAUCAUGUUAAACAAGAAUGAAAUUUCCCUGUAAACUCAGAUUCAGAUAAAUUCAACAAACCAAGGCAAGGAAUUGCAACAACAUAUCAUUUCUAAUUCAUUAAAGAACAAAUCACCAUGUUCUUAUCACUUAGUACAAUCCAUCAAUAUCAAUAAGAAAUGGGCAUGUCUUAGCUGCUAAAAUUAUGGCAAAACUUGACUCCAGAUUAGAAUUUCAAAUGUCACCCAUUAUGCAAUGUUUUGCCCGUUAUGUAAUGGCUUUUGCCCUGCCAAUUGGACUCUCCAUGUUGUUAUUGUGUUUAGGAAUCACAAUGAACACUGCCCAAAAUGCCCAUAUUGGCCAUUAUAGAACGCAUCAUGGGCAUACCACAAGACCAUUUUAAGUUGUCAGCAACCUUUUCUUUCCUAACCUCAAACAGCUUAUUUUGACACCAAAAUUCUUAAUAUCUGCCCUCGAUUUUCAGUUGCAAAAUUUAUAAAUGAAACUUUUAUUUUGCAAGAUAAAGGUGAUUUAUAUUGUUGUAGAAUUAAGCAUCGUUCUCAUGAUGCUAUGGUCUUCAGUUUCACCUGCCCUGCCUCUAUCUCAGUCUGGAAUUUCCUUGCAGCUGCACCAGAUGUAGUAAAUAUGGCAGCUCCAUUGCCAUAUUUAUUUCUAUUGACAAUAUCAAUGGCUUCUUCAAAGCUAUCAGCCUUCAUGCAUAGGAGAACCGGCCCAAAGAUUUCCUCCUUGUAGCACUCCAUAUCAGCUGUGACACCUGAUAAGAUAGUAGGACCAAUAAAAUUGCCCUGCUCAUACCCUGGAACCACUAUGUUUCUUCCAUCAAGGAGAAGUUUGGCUCCACUUUCAACAGCACUUUGAAUUAAUCUGUGAAUUCGUUCCUUGGCCUGUUUGCUAAUCACUGGACCCAAGUCUGCUUCAGGUACUGUUCCAGCAUUUACUUUCAGAGCCUUUGCACGUUCCACCAGUUUAUUCUCCCAUGGUUGUGAAUCUCCAACAAAAACUACCGUGCUCAGUGCCAUGCAACGCUGUCCAGCAGCGCCAAAACCAGCAGCAACUAGGGCAUUUAAAGCAGCAUCCAUGUUCGCAUCAGGCAAGACCAUUGCAUGAUUCUUGGCUCCCAUGUUGGACUGAACACGUUUCCCUUUGGCUGAUGCUCUUGCAUAUAUGUGCAUGCCAGCAAUAUUGGAACCAACAAAAGAUAUAGCUCUGAUGUUGUCAUCAUCACAAAUAGCAUUAACAACAUCCUGCCGCAAAAUUGAAACAUUUUAGGAAACAAAUUUUCUUAAUGGUAACAUGAAUUACCACCAAUUACCGGAAAUUGUAAAUUCACAUCUUCGAAUAUAAUAUGUGGAGCAAACAUAACUCUUUGCAGGCAUGUUAUAUCUUUGCAAUAAUGCAGACAUGCUAAAAAGUCAUCCAAUUGAAAACCUAAACUCCUUAAAGAUGUAAUUAAAAUAUUCAGUAUGUUCUUUGCAUUUUUGCAGGAAAAGACAAAAGGAGCCAAUGAAGCUUCAAAGAGCUGAAUAAGUGAAGAGGAGCUUAUUGUUCAGUAAUAGCAUACAUUGGUGCCAUGAACGAUGUUCAAGACACCAUUAGGCAGACCAGCUUCCAUGGCUAACUCUGCAAGCAUUAUAGAAGCCCCUGGAUCUUUCUCCGAGGGCUUUAAGACGAAUGUAUUACCACAUGUAACUGCAAGAGGGAACAUCCAUAAAGGAAUCAUUGCAGGAAAAUUGAAAGGGCAAAUCCCAGCACACACACCAAGUGGCUCUCUAAUGCUAUAGGUAUCAAUUCCAUUUGACACAUUAGGGACAUACUCGCCCAUUUGCAGAGUUGCCAUUCCACAAGCAUGCUCCACGACCUCAAGCCCACGGAACACAUCACCAUGUGCAUCCUUCAAAGUCUUCCCCUGUUCAGUAGUAAUAUUCAUCGCAAGCUUAUCAAUGUCUCUACGAAUAAGCUCUUGGAGCUUGAACAUAAUGCGUUGGCGGGUCGUCACUGGUGUGUUAUGCCAAGAUGGAAAAGCCUGCUUUGCGGCGGAUACUGCUUGUUUGAACUCUUCAUUUGUAGUAAAAGGAACUUGAGAUACAACUUCUUGUGUUGCAGGGUUUAUCACAUCAAUGGCCGAAGAUGAUUGCGAAUCAACAAAUGUCCCUCCAAUAAAAUUCGGAACCCUCAUAGGUUUUCGCUGGCUGGAAGAAGGCUGAGCAGCAGUAGAAAAAUGAGAGCUCCUCAAAGCAAGGAUCUGAGGACUCAAGGCCCUCAGAUUUCUCACUCGUUGAAUUGAAAAUUUAAGCAACAUGUCUUUGCUCUUUCCUUCUCUCUCUCUCUUUCUUCCUCUGAUAUGAUGAU